rnacentral:rRNA from 1 species
GGUUGACCUCGGAUCAGGUAGGGAUACCCGCUGAACUUAAGCAUAUCAAUAAGCGGAGGAAAAGAAACCAACAGGGAUUACCUCAGUAACGGCGAGUGAAGCGGUAAUAGCUCAAAUUUGAAAUCUGGUUCCU